CACCCCUCAGCAGUGGGCAGAGACACCUUGUUGGUGGUGCCAUUCUUCUAUCAGUCAGGGGCAGAGCAGACAGUAGCUCUUGUUUAUCCUAGCUUGAUGCCUGGCUUGGUGACCAAAGCUGUUUUAUGCCUAGGACUCAUAA
ensembl:snoRNA LOC120098370 small nucleolar RNA SNORA48